CAGCAGCCGCGGGAAUACGUAGGGUGCGAGCGUUAAUCGGAAUUACUGAGCGUAAAGGGAGCGUAGGCGGAUCGUUAAGUUGGGGGUGAAAGCCCGGGGCUCAACCUCGGAACUGCCUUCAAUACUGGCGAUCUUGAGUAUGAGAGAGGUGUGUGGAACUCCGAGUGUAGAGGUGAAAUUCGUAGAUAUUCGGUAGAACACCAGUGGCGAAGGCGACACACUGGCUCAUUACUGACGCUGAGGCUCGAAAGCGUGGGGAGCAAACAGGAUUAGAUACCCCCGUAGUCCCUGUCUCUUAUAC
rnacentral:rRNA from 1 species